AUUGAACGCUGGCGGUAUGCUUAACACAUGCAAGUCGAACGAUGAGAAAGAGCUUGCUCUUUCGAUUAGUGGCGGACGGGUGCGUAACGCGUAGGAAUCUACCUAUUAGUGGGGGACAACUUAGGGAAACUUAAGCUAAUACCGCAUACGCCCUACGGGGGAAAGAAGGGGAUCGCAAGACCUUUUGCUAAUAGAUGAGCCUGCGUAGGAUUAGCUAGUUGGUGGGGUAAAAGCUCACCAAGGCGACGAUCCUUAACUGGUUUGAGAGAAUGAUCAGGCACACUGGAACUGAGACACGGUCCAGACUCCUACGGGAGGCAGCAGUGGGGAAUAUUGGACAAUGGGCGAAAGCCUGAUCCAGCAAUACCGCGUGUGUGAAGAAGGCCUUAGGGUUGUAAAGCACUUUCAAUUGGAAGGAAAACCUCGAAGCUAAUACCUUCGAGUUUGACAUUACCUUUAGAAGAAGCACCGGCUAACUCCGUGCCAGCCGCCGCAGUAACAC
rnacentral:rRNA from 1 species